rnacentral:rRNA from 1 species
UACAGAGGGGGCAAGCGUUAUUCGGAAUUAUUGGGCGUAAAGGGCGCGUAGGCGGCCAUUCAAGUGACGGGUGAAAGCCCUCGGCUUAACCGAGGAACUGCCUGUCAGACUGGAUGGCUUGAGACCGGAAGAGGUGAGUGGAAUUCCCAGUGUAGCGGUGAAAUGCGUAGAUAUUGGGAGGAACACCAGUGGCGAAGGCGGCUCACUGGUCCGGUACUGACGCUGAGGUGCGAAAGCGUGGGGAGCAAACAGGG